CUGUGCAAAGCUAGCCAGACAAUAAAUUUGAAUCGUGGGUGGAGUUUUGUCUGCAGUACAAUUCUUUUCCAGUGUACUUUUGAGUAUUGUGGGAUUUGCAAAAAAUAGAGUUUUUAAUGCUAAAUCGUUCACCUUUUUGUAGCAUUUGCAAUCUACAUUCCAGAUCCCCUUGAAUUCCUUGUAAAUUUGUGAUAUGAUCGAGCCUCAAAACUCUUCCUUACUGCCCAGGCCGCAUUUUUGGAGUUGGUACUUCCUCCACAACCAAGUUUUUAAUGUAGUAUGUGUGCACCCAUU
rnacentral:lncRNA from 1 species